AGAGUUUGAUCCUGGCUCAGGAUGAACGCUGGCGGCGUGCUUAACACAUGCAAGUCGAGCGCGGUCCCUUUGGUGCUUGCACCAAAGAAGACUGAGCGGCGGACGGGUGAGUAACGCGUGGGUAACCUGCCCUAUACACAUGGAUAACAUGCUGAAAAGCAUACUAAUACAUGAUAACGUACACUGAUGGCAUCUUCGGUGUAUCAAAGCGUUAGCGGUAUAGGAUGGACCCGCGUCUGAUUAGCUAGUUGGUGGGGUAAAAGCCUACCAAGGCCACGAUCAGUAGCCGACCUGAGAGGGUGAUCGGCCACAUUGGAACUGAGACACGGUCCAAACUCCUACGGGAGGCAGCAGUGGGGAAUAUUGCACAAUGGGCGAAAGCCUGAUGCAGCAACGCCGCGUGAACGAUGAAGGUCUUCGGAUCGUAAAGUUCUGUCGCAGGGGAAGAUAAUGACGGUACCCUGUGAGGAAGCACCGGCUAACUACGUGCCAGCAGCCGCGGUAAUACGUAGGGUGCUAGCGUUAUCCGGAUUUACUGGGCGUAAAGGGUGCGUAGGUGGUCUUUCAAGUCGGUGGUUAAAGGCUACGGCUCAACCGUAUUAAGCCGCCGAAACUGGAAGACUUGAGUGCAGGAGAGGAAAGUGGAAUUCUCAGUGUAGCGGUGAAAUGCGUAGAUAUUGAGAAGAACACCAGUAGCGAAGGCGGCUUUCUGGACUGUAACUGACACUGAGGCACGAAAGCGUGGGUAGCAAACAGGAUUAGAUACCCUGGUAGUCCACGCCGUAAACGAUGAGUACUAGGUGUCGGGGGUUACCCCCCUCGGUGCCGCAGUUAACGCAUUAAGUACUCCGCCUGGGGAGUACGCACGCAAGUGUGAAACUCAAAGGAAUUGACGGGGACCCGCACAAGUAGCGGAGCAUGUGGUUUAAUUCGAAGCAACGCGAAGAACCUUACCUACACUUGACAUCCCUUGCAUUACUCUUAAUCGAGGAAAUCCCUUCGGGGACAAGGUGACAGGUGGUGCAUGGUUGUCGUCAGCUCGUGUCGUGAGAUGUUGGGUUAAGUCCCGCAACGAGCGCAACC
rnacentral:rRNA from 1 species